UUCUUCUCUCAUAUUGUGCCAAAAAAUAGGGCGACCACCUUUGGAGCUUCCAAUCCUUUGAAUUACAGAAAGAAUACCAUCUAUAGUUGGAUUUGCAACUCCAUAAACAGGAAAUCCAGGAACUUCUCUGAAAUUAGGUGCACCCUCCACUCUCUCUGGUAAACUCGGGUUUUGACAACCAGGACAAUGGUCACUCUUUAGAACAGUUUGACUUCCUAGAACCUCCCCAUUUCUUAAAGCAGCAACAACGCCCAUCUCAUGAGGACGGCCAUCAGCAGAUUCAGCAAUUUUCAUCAGAGAUGGCUUCAAACUUGCAUAUCCAAGUGCACCCAUUGGAUCUCUCCUAAGCAACCUACGAAUUAUGCUAUACAGCUCAGGCCGUGCUCUCAUCCAGUCAGCAAAACUGCUAUGGCCAAAAGAACUAGAACGGAGGGCAUCUCUCUCUGAAUGAAUAUAUACAGCAAAGCAUAUCAGAAAGUAAUAUCUUUCCAAGUAUUCCACAAAAAAUGAAAGUGAAGCCUCUUCAUCUCAUCUGGUUGACGAAGAAUGCUAUUGCGAUAAUUGGCAAUUGCUUCACGCAAGUUCUGCAUGGAGGCACACUUAUCAAUGACUUUAUCCACUUGUCUUUUGCCUUCAACACCACCCUCUAAAACCCUGGUCAAGCUUCUUAUUACUGCAUAUUCUCCUCUACGAAUUGCCUCCUCUGAGUUUGGCAAAUUAUCAGCGACAGUAGAACCAGCGUCAAAAACUCUCCCUAUCGAAUUGGUUCUUGGAAUACCAGAAGCUCCAAUUCGGUUGAGGUAAACCAAAGUCGCAAUGACCAUCCCAGUUGUCGUUCUUCCACGUCCCAUUUGACAAUUAAAUAUGAUUUCUUUAUUCAAGUUUGCGCUAUAAAUUUUAUCAACUAAGAUAUCAAAAUCCUGUUCCUCCGGUGAUUUUUCAUCAGUUAUAGGAACACGUUCAUAGUCAAAAAGGUACCCCUCUAAUUGCAGUUCCUCAUUUGCCUCUAGUGGCGUCUUCACAGAAUCACAUGACACUGGUUCCCAUUGGUCCACCAUCUGACCAUCUGGUAGUUCAUCAGUGACAAGUAUUUUAUUUCCAUAUCUUGCAGCUUCCAUCAGGAUAUCUUCUUUUAAUCGAGCCUCCAUUUGCUCAACCCUAGACCUGUUGAUUCCC
rnacentral:misc_RNA from 1 species